ensembl:lncRNA
CUCCCUCCCCCCCAAACCAUCAAAGCCCCCGGCCUGAACCUUUUAAAGGCGCUCAGCCUGCAAUCCAACACUUUCCUUCCUCUGUCUCGCACCUCGUGUCCGUGUCCUCCGAUGGGGGGUAAAUGUAUACACUUCAUCAUGACAGUCUCAACACACCUGCCGCCCUCUUUGGGUUCCUGUUUUACGUCACAUUGCAAUGCCUUGUGGGUAAUUCCCUUUCUAAGAAUAGCAGGAUGUUGUUUGUUGAAAUGUACUUUAUUCAGCCGGUUUUUCAGCUGAAUAAUAAUUUCAUUGAUUGAGACCUUUGCAACCAGGCUGGAAACAAAAAGGAAUGAAGACUGAAGAAUAAAUGGUAAUAAAGUACAAAAACAUCAAAAUAAACUGUGACCUGGAUGUAAAGGAGCAGGUGAUGCUCACAAUAAGACAUGUAGAAGGUUCUGGCUGGUGAGCAUGAGCGCUAAUUACCGGAGCUAACUGCUAAAACUCAUUUUCACAGCUGAUCCAAACUCUUUUAAUCAGCUGUGCAUCAAUAACAAAAAUAAAAUAUAUCUGAACAACGGCCUGCAAAAAUGUAUAAUUUGUAAUUUCAUGAAUAAAUUAUUUCUUCAUGCAUUAAAACCCACUUGAUGAGGAAAUCACUCCAUUGGGAAUGUGUGUGUGUGUGUGUGUGUGUGUGUGUGUAUAUGCGUGUGUGUGUGUGUGUGUGUGUGUGUGUGUGUGUGUGUAUAUAUGUGUGUGUGUGUGUGUGUGUGUGUGUGUGUGUGUGUGCUGUGUGUGUGUGUGUGUGUGUGUCUGUGUGUGUGUGUGUGUGUGUGUGUGUGUGUGUGUGUGUGUGUGUGUGUGUGUGUGUGUGUGUGUGUGUGUGUCUGUGUGUGUGUCUGUGCGUGUGGGAGGGGGGGGUGUCACACUGGAGGCGUCCUAAUUGCUGAUCCACUUCCUCCCAUCAAAUAGUCGAGGAGGAAGAGUGACGCAUAAACACAUGUACGCCAGCGCGUUUUCAUCAUUGUGCGAGAUUUUCAAAUUAGAAUUAAUUCACAAAAUAAAUUUUACCUUGACAAAUGAAAUGAAAUACAACACUAUUUAAAAAAAAUGAAUUCAAAAUAAUCUUAUUUCUCAAUAAAACUAAAAGCUAAAUUCACAACAAGAAUGUCCUUAACGUAUCUUUAUAAUUAUUGUUUGAAACCGGUGGUAAAGAAUAAUAAUGUGAUGAUAUAUUAUAAGCUCCAUGGAGAUCUUAGCUUAACAUCUCCCCACUUCAUCCGUUGCUAAGGGCAACGGCGUAGACAAAGAUGGCUGCUGAGCGGUAGGUCAGCUCUGUGUGGG